AUCUUUCUGACGAGUUUCAAAUGGGACGAAACGCGUGUCUUGGAU
rfam:Schistosoma mattheei strain Denwood, Zambia genome assembly, scaffold: SMTD_contig0004905